AAGUGUAUUGUUGAUUAGUCUCCUAUUCUCAAUGUAUGACAAAUUAUAAUGGCUGUUUGUUAGCUGUUUGAAUACUAUGCUACACUAAAACCGGAUGAUAGUAUUCUGUUGUAGUCUAGCUGACUUAGCAAAAAAAAAUCCCUUACACUAUUAGGCUACAUUAUUUAGGAAAGUUAUCUUACUGUAAUUACAGAGUAAUGCAUUACUUCCAAACUGAUGUUGUGAUAGCCUAUUCAAUAAAAUGCUUGUUAUACAUAUAAUUCUAAAUAUUUGGUAAAUUGGGCAAAAUUAUGUUUGUUUUAAUUAUGAAAAUCAUGCUUGCAUGUAUCAGAGUUUUAUAUUGGGUUUCUAUUCAGGGGCACUUCUGAAAUAGUUUGGAGCACCCUCUGCCACUGCCACUGCCCAAGAUGAGGAGCCAUCCACCUCCUCAGCCACAUAUGUGUCUCCACAAAUGUCUGAUCCCGAGGAUGAAGACCCAAUUGCGGCCACUUCAGAAAUGCCUGGAGCUGAACCCCCUGAGGAUGAGCCCCUGCCUACGGACCCUACAAACUGGUCUUCAGAUAUCACUGACAGCAUUCAAAUACAGCUGGUUUUCAAAGGACCAAGUAAGGUAGCACCCAACUUUGUUUUCCCUAGAAAUGAGGGUGAUGGAAGAAGUUGCCACCACCAGUAUUUUAAGAAAACACUAGUUAGCGGUGAAAAGAUGCCUAGAAGCUGGCUAGUAUAUUCUGAGAAAAACAACAGCCUUUUUUGCUUCUGCUGCAAGCUGUUUUCUAUAAGACACAUCAAUUUAACAAGUUCUGGACUGACAGAUUGGAAGCAUGCCAGUUCUCUUCUCACCUCACAUGACAAUAGUCCUGAACACCAUAACUCCAUAAAAGCAUGGGAAGAACUGGUAGUGAGGAUUAAAAAAGGUGAAACAAUUGACAAACAAGAGAUGGCACUUCUGCAGGCUGAGAAAAUAAGAGAGUGGUGCUGAGUCGUCUCACUGCUGUCAUUCAGGCUCUCGCAAUCAGAAAUUUAGCACUAAGGGGACACACAGAAACAUUCUUUUCUCCAUCAAAUGGCAAUUUUCUAAAAGAAGUUGAACUCAUGGCAAGGUUUGAUCCCAUAAUGCAAGAACACAUUAACCAUGUCCAGAAAGGCACUUGCAGUCACACCAGCUAUCUCGGUCACCAUGUACAAAACAAACUCAUUGAUUUGUUGAGUAGCUAGUAGUAUCAUCAGCUAGUAGUUGAUGAUAUCAAGCUGGCAAAGUUUUUUUCAAUAAUUCUAGAUUGCACUCCAGAUAUUAGCCACACUGAACAGCUGUCAGUUGUGAUUCGGAUUGUGUCAUUACAAGAGAAGCCCCAUAUUACGGAGUAUUUUAUGGGAUUUUUGGAAGCUGACGAAUCCACAGGGAAACAUUUCGCAUUGAUGAUUUUAAACAGGCUGGAAGAGCUGAAAAUUCCCUUUGAGGACUGCAGAGGUCAGUCAUAUGACAAAGGGGCCAACAUGAGGGGAAAAAACAAGAGCGUUUAAGCCAGGCUCCUGGAACUGAAUCCUAGAGCUCUCUUUGUUCCCUGGGGAGCUCAUGCACUGAAUUUAGUUGUGGCUGAUACUGCAAAGGGAUCUAUUGAUGCCACAAGUUACUUUGGGAUUUUGCAAAAACUUUACAGUUUGUUUUCAGCCUCCACUCAGAGAUGGGCCAUCCUAAAAAAAACAUGCUAACAUUACACUGAAGAUGUGGUCUGAAACAAGGUGGGAAAGUAAGAUCAACAGCUUUGAGCCCCUGAGGUACCAAGCAUCUGCAGUGAGAGAGGCUUUGAUUGAGGUGAGAGACCACACCAAAGACUCAGUCAUAAAGACUGAGACUCAGUCUUUGUCUGAGGAGGUGGGAUCAUACAGAUUCAGCAUUUGUACAGUGGUGUGGUUUGACUUCCUGAACCAAACCCACCAUGUGAUCAAACUCAUGCAGUCUCCCAACAUGCCAGUGGAUGUAGUGGUCAAUCUCCUGAACAAAUCAGAGAAAGGUCUCCGCAACUACAGGGCAACAGGCAUCUGCACAAAUGUCAGCCAAGGAUAUGUGUGAGGACAUGAACGCAGAGGCUGCUCUGCAACAGAAAAUACUGAGAUCUACAAAGCGGCACUUCUCUUACGAAUCAUUUGAUGAGCCAUUGAGUGAUGCCCUAAAGAAGCUGGAGGUGACCUUUUUAAUGUUGUUGUUGCAGUGUGUUCCAUCCAAGAGAGAUUCACCACAUUGUAAAAUGUGAGAGAGAAAUGUGAAGUACUGACACAUUUUCCAAAUCUCUCAAAUGAUGACCUCACUGAUCAGUGUGAGGCCCUCAGUGCUACUUUGCUUUUUCAGGACCAAUCAGACUUGGAUGCCAGGGAGCUUGCAAAGGAGAAUACGAAUUUGCCUGACUUACCAUCAAAAUCUAUGACCUCUCUUGAGCUGCUGAACUUUGUGCAUGACAGUGAACUCUCAGAAAUAUACCCAAAUUUUUGGACUGCUCUGAGAAUUGCAGUUACUCUACCUGUAACUGUGGCUUCAGCAGAGAGGAGCUUUUCAAAGCUGAAACUUGUGAAGACAUAUCUGAGUUCCACUAUGUCUCAGGAACGCCUCACUGGCCUUGCCAUCAUCAGCAUCAAUCACGCAAUUGCAGACCAGAUUUCAUAUGAUGACAUUAUUGAUGACUUUGCAUCAAGGAAGGGCACCUCUAGAAAGUUCCAUGAAUGCCUCAACAAAUCCCCCCACCAGCCCCACCCGACCAAAAUGUGGCUG